GGGGAAGUUGAGGGCCUGGGAGCCCGAGGCCAGAUGGAGGCAAAGAGGAGUGAGGCUGCUCACAGACCCUGGUGGGCUGGGUUCUGGAAGAAAACCAUGGGCUGACCAGCUCCAGGGCCUGGCUGAGCCUCAGCCAGGUUCUGCCAGAGCUGGCUCAACAGCGGCACCUGCCGGCUGGGGCCCUCUCUGCGGGGAAGGGCUCCUCCACCGCCCUGGGAGCCCCGCGGAGAAGAAAACAGAGGCUCAGGGAGUUUAUGACUGCAUUCAGAUCCUAGUUCUGACAUUUACCAGCAAUAUGACAUUGAAUAAGUCAGUCACUCCAGAGGACACCGAGCUCAGUGAGCACAUUGGCGAGGCCUGCCCUGCCGGGAUGCUGUUUGCCUUACAGUAACACGUAGAAUGCCUCAGUGUCUGGCACAGCACUGGUACUCAGAAGACGUCAGUGAUGACUGCUGUCUAAAGGGAAGGGAUAUGUACCUGGGACAUGUAGCCUGUACUCUCUUCACUGGGAAGCAUUGACAAGGACAGGUCAGUAACUGACUGAAUUACCUGGAGGACUUUAAAAGACACAGAUCCCUGACCGUACUCCCCCCAGAUUCUGAUUGUGAUACAUGGCCGGGUUUGGGAGCCUGUGUCACUGGGGUAUGGCUCAUGCGGUCUUUGCUGGUCCACUCCCUGGGGCUGUCCUCUAGUGAGUUACAUAGAAAGGAUAGCGUUGGGUUGGGUGCAGUGGCUCACACCUGUAAUCCC
rnacentral:lncRNA from 1 species